rnacentral:rRNA from 1 species
AAUGAACGUUGGCGGCGUGGAUUAGGCAUGCAAGUCGUGCGAGAAGUCUUUUGCUUGCAUUAGACGGAAAGCGGCGAAAGGGAGAGUAACGCGUGGAUACCUACCUCCAGGUUCGGGAUAGCUGCGGGAAACUGCAGGUAAUACCGAAUAACAUCUCCGGAUCAAAGGUGUGAUUCCGCCUGGAGACGGAUCCGCGUCCUAUUAGCUUGUUGGUGGGGUAACGGCCUACCAAGGCGACGAUGGGUACCGGGCGUGAGAGCGUGACCCGGCUCACUGGGACUGAGACACUGCCCAGACACCUACGGGUGGCUGCAGUCGAGAAUCUUCGGCAAUGGACGAAAGUCUGACCGAGCGACGCCGCGUGCGGGAUGAAGGCCCUCGGGUUGUAAACCGCUGUCAGUUGGGAGGAAUCACAUGGGGUCAUCCCCAUGUGUUGACCUAUCUUCAGAGGAAGGACGGGCUAAGUUCGU